UAUAAUACAGACUUCGCAUUGGCUCCUCACCAAGUUGGACGCUGCUGUAUUAUCCUGUCAUUCUUGUCUAGAAGGAACGCACGGGUUUUAGGCAGUGAAGUGUACAGACCCUCGUGUGCAAACAGAAGACAUAUGGCGCAGUCGGGGAAGACGGAAGACCUUUCAAUUAACUGUGCUCCGGCGUGAGUCAAAGUGACGAGAGGUGGUUUCAAGAAUCCUCGGCAUUUCUUAAGAGCCGCAGGGAUGAUGUGGCGGUGGUAGCUGCCUCUGACUUUCAGCAUGGACGGCUUCGACAUCGAAAAAACUCGAAAAUCUCCUCGAGUCAAUUGAGGAAAGCGAUUUGCCAACGGUAGACGCAAAUUACCAC